rnacentral:tRNA from 1 species
GGGGGUGUAGCUCAAUGGUCAGAGCAGGCGGCUCAUAAUCGCUUGGUUCACGGUUCGAGUCCGUGCGCCCCCACCA